AUGGUCAGGUCCGGGUGCAAGAGAACGUCGCCCUCUCACGGCGAAAACAGGGGUUCGAGUCCCCUUGGGAGCGCCA
rnacentral:tRNA from 1 species